rnacentral:rRNA from 1 species
UACAGAGGGGGCAAGCGUUGUUCGGAAUUACUGGGCGUAAAGGGCGCGUAGGUGGCUUUCUAAGUUGGACGUGAAAUCCCUGGGCUCAACCCAGGAACUGCGUCCAAGACUGGGAGGCUUGAAUCCGGGAGAGGGAUGCGGAAUUCCAGGUGUAGCGGUGAAAUGCGUAGAUAUCUGGAGGAACACCCGUGGCGAAGGCGGCUCUCUGGGACGUGACUGACGCUGAGGUGCGAAAGCGUGGGGAGCAAACAGG